GACUGAGGAGAAGGAAGAGGCUGCAUCAGCUGCCUGGGUGAGGCUAAGAGAAGGCAGGGAGUUGGAUGUUACCAGGAGCGGAGGUAUUUCCAGUCUUGUGCAUCCAGGUUGGACGAGGAGAGAAGGAGAGGCUGGCAGGAACUCUUUUUCUGGAUCAGGUUGUCUGUAGCCCCAAGACUGAGUGCACACGUUUCCAUCAAGCCAGGCAGAAGGGCCACCAGGUGACCGCAGCAGCCAACCCCAAGGGGUCUCUGGCAGAGCUUUGGGCUUCUCUGCAGAUGUCGAGGUUGGAUUUAUUCUUCCUGCCCUCCUACCGAGCAUGUCUUGGGGAUUAGUGGGAAACUGACUGUAAAGAUCUUUUGCUUCCUUUUUGCAUAUAGCUAUGUAAUCUGACUUCAGGUGAAAAUUUAUGUCUAAGUGGUAAAUGUUUUUGAGAACCCAGUGAGGAUUGUGAAUCCCUUUGCCAGUUUCAUGAUGGAGGGAGUUAACAUGGAUCAUAAAAGGGCUGAAAGAGUGUCUGAGGUUACCUCUACCUUGUAUCACCAUACGAAGUAGCCAACAACUCCAUGAGAUAAGUUUUUCUCCAGCAGCAUCAUUGGAGCUUGCAGCACAAGUUGGAAAAGAUGGGGAAAACCCACUUUUCUCUUAUAUGAAAAUGACUUCUCCCAAUCCUGUUUUGUCUCAGCAUACAAUAUAUAUGGUUGUUAAUUUACUACCCACAGCAUCAUGGACUCAUCCUCUUCCCUGAAUCGCUUGUAAAUAUUUUCUCAAACUGAGUGUAUUUUCCAAUGUUUAUCCAGGUAUCUGCAUAUCCAACUCUUCAUUGUCCCUGGUGCAGGUUAACCAUGCUCUGCAGGGUACCUCUUUAUCCCCUCAGCCUGUCCCAGGCCUCCUGCCAGUGUCCACAGUGCUGUGCGUUGGGUGUCUAAUUCCACCUCCCCCUGAGAGGUCACUGACAUGUGAACACAUGCUCCUAACAAGUUGACCCCAGUCUUGCUGAAAUUGCCUAGACUGUAUUAUUUUCUUCCCCAUACUUGACAUAGAGCAUAAGCUGAGAGGUACAUAAUACAUGCCAUAAUUUAUGACGGUGCUUAGGUAAAGCCAUGCAAACUCGUCUAUCAUUGCCAGGUUCAUUUCCAGUGGUGUUCAUUGAAGGUAAGUUGACUCAUUUAUACAAAACAAUUCCCUCAUUUCCCUUUGAGCAAUUGUCAAGUGUGCUUGACGCAGGCCAAGUGACCUUCAAAUGCGGAGUGGGGUUUGGCCUGGAAUGUCAGUGUGCAUUUGGCAGCAUGAAUUGCUCCAAAGAAUCCUGAUUUCUUAUGCAUGAACUGCUGACCCCAGCACUGGGGCCUGGAGAGCGGGACGGGAAGGAAGGUGAACUCCUGCUGAUUCAGGGGCCCUCCCAGCAGCCUUUCCACGGUGUCAGCAGUAUUCACAUCACUUUCCUCUCCUCCCUCUUCCGCCCCACCGUAAGUCCUGUCCCUGGAAGCACUUUUCAGUUGCCAGGAAUCAUGAACAUUAGGAAACAAUCCAAAAAAACGGGGUGUCUACUUUAUAUUCUGUGGCCCACACGGUCACACAUGGGCCUGGUUUUAACACCGGGUCAUAGGUGUGGAAACAGCCUGGCCUAGAGGAAGGAACACUGAACCAGUGAGAGAGGCCUUCAGUGACUCCAGGACCAAGCAAGUGUGUGGCCUGGAGGCUGGCCUUUCUAAGAGGCCUGUCUCGGUGGAAACGGAGGAAUGUUCUACUGCUGGCUUUCCAGAGCGCUCCUCUAGCCCCACUACUUGGAGCGAUGCUUCCCGGUGUUGAAGCUGCAGAUCUAAGGACCAUGUUUCUUCAAACACAACCAGGCCUCUAGGGCAAGAUCGUUUCCAGGAGAUGUAAUGAAAUAUGAAGGAAAACGCCCAGCAGGCAACAUGCCUGCCUGCUGAGGAUCACAGGAAACAGCCUUACUACCAAUCUACCAAUACUGGGCCCUGAGCUGGAGAAACAGCUCCUUUUUUCAUUUCAAAAUAUCACUAAUGUUCCAUGGUGCAGGACAUAUUUCAAAUGCCUCAAUUGGAAAAAACAGGCUCCAAAGGCAUCACGGUGUGCCUGUGGCUCUUGUCUGUGCUAGGCAGCAGCACAAGGGCCUGCUCAUUAGCUCACUGAUGACAGGUUUAUCCGCAACUGUAUAUCAAGCAAUGAGAAAGUCAGCUGUGCGAGCAAACGUCCCUCAGUCAUAUUGCACAAAGCCUUCGUAAAGGGAUAGAGUGCUGAAAGCCUCCUAACUCCUCUCUAGCUGAACAUCUUUUCCCCUCCGCUACCUCUGAACCUCUCAUCCUUCCAACUCAGCUCAAGAACGCAGAAGCUGUUUGCCGACCCCUUCUGCUAGUGUCCUGUCCUUGGUAAUUCAAAGACGCCCCCGGGAUGGCCCACAAAGAGCCCUGUGUGCAUGCACACGCGCCACUGUCACUGAUAAGGCCACUGGGUGGUGAGCGGUUCUUUUCACACUUCACAUCCAGAGGCUUUUCCUGUGAUUUGUGUGUGAAGCACCUGUUUGCAUGGUCCGUCCACCCUUAUCUGAGAUUCUGCCUCUUAGGCACCAGGGCAGGUUGAAGCCUUUUUCACCCACUUACAAAGCAACAGCUUAUUCCUGAGAAGUGUGUCAAGCUGGUAUGUCCACUGUGCUCCCCAGACUCACCAAUAAGAUCACUGACUUAAUUGUUUUCUGCCCCUUACUUUUAGAAGAAAGAAGUUAGGCAAUCUAAAGGAGUCAAACUGAUAAUGUUGCUUUUGAAAAAAAGUAAACAAAUAAUAAAACAUCUCCCAGAGUGUAUGGGGUCCAAAACACAUUUAACCCAGUUUCUCACACUUUCCAUAUGAACAUUUACUCAAUAAUCCUACGUGAUGUUUAGAAUGAAUAAUUACUGUGGGGCCCCUCAUCAAACAUCAGAAAGAGACCAAUAGGUUCGAUAUUUUGCCGUAAAGCAGGAAAUUGAACUAAGUAUCAAGAAAUAAAUACCAACAGAGAGAAUAACAAAGGAAGGAAGGAGGGAUUAAUUGUCAUUGUUAGAGAAAAACUCAUUUUCUGAUGAUGAUGGUCAAGACCUUAUCUUAUAAUCCUCCUAACUAUAGCCUCCUUUUCUUUGCAUUGGGUACCCAACAUCCAUUAUGACUGUUGUCUCCAGAAGCCCAGAGACAUUCAUCUUUUUGCUCUCCUUUCACUGAUGAGGAGACUGGACGUCACGUGAUAAUUCAGCUGCCCAGUCUUAUGGCAAGCGAGAGAGACCUAUUUUGAACUGAGGCAUGCUGGACUUCAAAGUCCAUGUUCUUGCUCUUAGAGCAAGUCUCUAAAACAAGAUUUUCACUAAUUCUUAACAAUUUAUUGAGUUCAGCAGUUACUGAGCAUCUAUCAUGUCUUGGCAGUGAUAGGGAAUACAGAUAUAAAAAAGUUACAGCCCUACCUUCACUUGAGCCAAAAAUAUUUUUCUUUAGGGAAUCUUUAGAACAAACACUUUCAGAAAAUUUUUCUAAUUGAGCUUGAGAUGUUGACUUGACUCUCAUUUUUAAAACUAACUAAUUGGCUAUCAAAAUGGCAACACUUACAAGAUAAUGCUUUCUGUAUUUCUUCAUGCAUUUAACUCCCUAACUAAUGAAAAACUUCAUGAUAUUUUCUCCCAAAGGAGGGGAUAGAAGUGUCUUUUCUUCUCACACUGUGAAGACAAGUAAACGUAAUUUAGUUUCAAUACAGUUAUAUUAGCUUUAGAUAAUAAUGAGCUAUUGCCAUAUAUCAGACCACAAAAAAAGAACCAAAACUAAACAUUAAUACAAGGUAUGUUUUUAUUUCUAUUAUACUUUAAGUUCUGGGAUACAUGUGCAGAAUUUGCAGGUUUGUUACAUAAGUAUACACGUGCCAUGGUGGUUUGCUGCACCCAUCAACCCAUCAUCUACAUUAGGUAUUUCUCCUAAUGCUAUUCCUCCCCUAGCCCUCCACCCCCCAACAGGCCCCAGUGUGCGAUGUUCCCCUCCCUGUGUCCAUGUGUUCUCAUUGUUCAAUGUGUAACAGAGUUGGAGUAUGGCUUCUAAAAAUCAUAAUUUCAUAUGCAUAAUGGCAAUUGCUAGACAAGAAUUCUGUAACUAGAGCUAGUUACAUGAGCAAAAACUGCCUCAUAGUUCAGGUUGCAAAGUGGGCAGCCAUUAUAGCCCAGAAGACACUCCCAGAAGAAAUUGGUGAGCUAACUUUGUAUAUUUAUGAACAUUUUUGGUAUUUUCAGUCUUUCCGAAGCACCUGGUGAUGGCCAGUGUGGAAGACUAGGUGGAGCAUGACAAGAUCAUUGUCUGUAAGCACUCACUGUGCUGUUUCUAGAAGACGCUUCUGUAGGUGAAUAAAGGUGGUUAUUGCUGAGUCUUUCUUCACCAAAAAAUAAUGAAACUAAUUUAAUAGGCUGAUUUGGAAAAGAGCCUAGUAAAAUCCGCUGCAGAAUUGGGAUUUGCUUUGAAAAGUGUCUCUGUCCUUACAGGCACACUGAUGGAGUAUUGUUUUGUUCCUCAUGUGGCAUUUUUCAAGCCACUUCAAGUCUGUUUUCAAACUAAAUUGGGAAUUAAAAAAUCAUAUGAUAAGUAAAUUGAAAAAUGUAACUCACUAGUGUCCAUUCUCUAGCAUCCAAAGUAUUUGACCUAUUACAAAUUUAUCAACAGUAAAUAUUUCUUAGACUAAUUUGUAACCUGUUAUAAAUUCACCCAAAGGAAUAGUAAUUUUCAUAAUAAUGGAAUAAAAGAGCUUUCAAUGUCCCUUAUGAAGCUGUGUUCAAUGGAAAUAAAGCAUUGGGUGUAGCGGUGGGUAUGUGAAUGGAUGGAGAACUGGCUGAGCAGCCUAUGGGUUGAUUAGCCAUAGAAACAUUGGGCCUUGAUUGCUGCAAGCCCUCAGCCUGGGCCCAGUUUAAGAGCAGCCUG
rnacentral:lncRNA from 1 species